rnacentral:rRNA from 1 species
CUAGGCAUCAAAGCGGUAGGACUACCCGCUGAACUUAAGCAUAUAUUAAAGCCGGAGGAAGA